UGUUUCUCUCUCCUUGCUCCUCCAAUCAGACUUCUCCAUUCUCUCUCCUCAACAGCUCUCUCUCUCUCUCUCUCUCUCCCGUUUGUUUGCUUUUUUUCAUUUUUAAUUUUGAAGCUUAAACAUAAUAUGUAUGGGGUUCUAUCCACGCAUCUGUAGUGAAGCAACUUAAACACAGAUGUAGAUGAAGAUGCAUGGGGUUUGAAAAUCUCGCCGACACUGGGUUUCGAAAUCCCUCUCUUCUCCUGUUGGCGGUUCAACGAGGUGGUGGUUCACUGGUGACGGCUGCGGUGGGUCCGUACGUGAAUGAGUUAUAUAGAGAGUUUUGGCUUCAAUGAUUGGACUUGCUCUAAUGUACUUCAUUUUCUUCAGCCAGAAAAGAGAGGGAAAAGGCGGAACAUCUUUUGUUUCUUUUUCAUUUUGUUGAUGAAGCAAGAGGUAGGCAUCAUUUUGACGAGUAGAUUUCCUUGGAAACUUUUGGAAACGUAAGAGGUCUGAUAUUGUUUUGGAGUUUGUGGUUGUUUGGGAAAAAUGAUCAAGCCCUGGAGUAGAUAAGUGCUACUACUUAUAACUGAAAUAACUGUUUUUUGCCUGCCGUCUUAAUACUCAUACGAACACCUAUCACCUAUAAAAAGUCAGAACAAAGCCCUCUCUCUCUCUCUCUCUCUCUCUCUCUCUCUCUCUCUCUCUCUCUCUCUCUCUCUCAGUUGCAUAUUCAAGAAGGCAUCGAGAAAAAUGUCUGACAACAGAAGAAGCAUAGGUACAGGCAGAGAAGGGAACGAGUCCUUAGAAGGACAUGUAUCAUCUUCAUCUCAAACGGUGGUUGAUACUGGCACACAAAUACCUGAAGAAGAAUUGGAAUUGGGAUCUGCUAUCAGUAGAAGGCCUGUGGUUUCUAAGGCCUGUGGUUUCUGGCACCCAUACCAAAGUUGGUGAAAAGAUGGGAAUUUUUCUGUUUCAAGUGCUUAUAACUCCUGGUGAUGCUUAGCUAAACAAACUUCUAAUUUCUGUGGAAGCAGCUUUGAAAUGUUUCCCUCCUCCAGCCGAUUGUCAGGAAACUUACAAGAAGAAGAUACAGAUUUCCGACCCUCAAAACUUCGAUUGGCCUAUGACUCUGAGGUAUGAUCCUUCGGAUCCUGGAAAACAAGUGGCAGAUAUUUGCUAUCUGGAACAAUGUGAAAACUUUGGGUAAGAUUUGCUGCUACAAACCAGUCCCAUUUUCAGACGACAACCGUUACCUGGUUGAAACUGUCAAAAGAAGAUAUCCAAAUACUAUCCAUGAAUUCAAGUUUGAAAAUUUCAUGUUUCAGCUGACAUUGACCAAUAUGGACAUGCGGUACAAAAGGCUCAUCAUCUUCGCUGAGGAUGUAUUCAAACAUUUCUCUGCUGUUGGAAUCCCUGCUGGAACACAUGACGUUGAGAGGUUGUAUUUUACUGAUCUAAAAUAAAAAUCGGAUACUAUCGUGGUUUUUACCACCUUAUGCUGGCUGAUUUUUUCACAAAGCACAAUUUGGGAAAAAGAGAUAUGAUUAGCUUUUGUAGACCUGUACAUCCUUUACACUGUUGCAUUUGUGAAACAAGGUGGUAAUCGGACUCAAUCCGAGACUGUAGCAACAGAUGAUACCAUGGAUGGAGGCGGUGACGAACAGGGUGAUGGUGGAGGAGGACGAACAGAUAGAGGCAACAACAGACAGAGCGAUGGUGGAGGAAGGAGUCACAGUGGCGGAAAGUUGGUUUUGAAUGUUGCUGUUUCGCAACGAAAAGCAACAGAGUACUCUUGAACAAGGACGUUGCAGCAGUGGUGAUUCAAGGUCAAGGGAAUGAAUGGUAGCACCAUUGUAUAUUCCAAGGAAGACAGGAAAAUUCAAGUAUUAAGUCUGCAGAAAUAUUCGUCCAAUUGCUGACACAAAUGAAAUGAGAAACUCUUAGAUUUACCAUUCCUUCUACUAGUUGUCUCGUUGGCGUAUUGUUUGUCAUUUUUGCGGUGAAAACUUACGGAUACUGAGCUACCUUAAAUAAUAUGAAGUCCAAAACAA